GACGAACGCUGGCGGCGUGCUUAACACAUGCAAGUCGAGCGGAGCGGCGAACGGGUGAGUAACGAGUGAGUAACUGCCCCCCUCUCUGGGAUAACAGUUGGAAACGGCUGCUAAUACCGGAUAGUGGGGGAUGACUCGCGUCCUAUCAGCUUGUUGGUGGGGUAGUGGCCUACCAAGUCGACGACUGGUAGCCGGCCUGAGAGGGCGACAGGCCACAUGGGGCUGAGAUACGGCACAAACGCCUACGGGAGGCAGUAGUGGUGAAUAUGGCGAAAUUGGGGAAACCCUGAUGCAGCAACGCCGCGUGCGUGAUGACGGCCUGCUGGUUGUAAACCGCUUGCAGCUAUUACGCGGUAGUGGCAGAAGAAGCACCGGCUAACUACGUGCCAGCAGCCGCGGUAAUAC
rnacentral:rRNA from 1 species